rnacentral:rRNA from 1 species
UACGUAGGUGGCGAGCGUUGUCCGGAAUUACUGGGCGUAAAGGGUGCGUAGGUGGUAGUUAAAGUCAGAUGUGAAAACCCCGGGCUUAACCUGGGAACUGCAUUUGAAACUUAACUACUAGAGUGCAGGAGAGGAAAGCGGAAUUCCUAGUGUAGCGGUGAAAUGCGUAGAUAUUCGGAAGAACACCAGUGGCGAAGGCGGCUCACUGGCCCGGUACUGACGCUGAUGUGCGAAGCGUGGGAGCAAACAGG